CCUACGGGGGACAGCAGUGAGGAAUAUUGGUCAAUGGACGCGAGUCUGAACCAGCCAAGUCGCGUGAAGGAUGACUGCCCUAUGGGUUGUAAACUUCUUUUAUCUGGGAAUAAAAUGUUCCACGUGUGGGGUUUUGUAUGUACCAUAUGAAUAAGGAUCGGCUAACUCCGUUCCAGCAGCCGCGGUAAUACGGAGGAUCCGAGCGUUAUCCGGAUUUAUUGGGUUUAAAGGGAGCGUAGGUGGAUUGUUAAGUCAGUUGUGAAAGUUGGCGGAUCAACCGUAAAAUUGCAGUUGAAACUGGCAGUCUUGAGUACAGUAGAGGUGGGCGGAAUUCGUGGUGUAGCGGUGAAAUGCAUAGAUAUCACGAAGAACUCCGAUUGCGAAGGCAGCACACUGGACUGCAACUGACACUGAGGCUCGAAAGUGUGGGUAUCAAACAGGAUUAGAUACCCCUGUAGUC
rnacentral:rRNA from 1 species